AACUACAUUGGCUUAUAUGGAAAGUUAUCCAAAACAAUUUAAUAAAAAAUUACUAUUGCUUUAAACCGACGCAAACUUUUUUGUAGGAUAAAUAUCAGUGUACUUGAUACGUAUAAAACUUUACAAGCAUUCUAAACAUCUAGGGAUUUUAUAAGAAAUAUUUGUUGUCACUUUCCCAUAUAAGCUAUGCAUGAUUUGCAACCGUUUAGUUCCGAAUACCUUCCUCUGUCUCUCUCACUCUGGCAUUUGUGGCUGCCAAGCUGCCAUCUGUUGACUGUAUCUUCCAUAUACUUAUAGUAGUAGCUAUAGGUUGAGAAAGUCCGCCAUUUUAUAUUGCUCCAGACGCGACUAUUUUGGAGUCGAGUUGGAGAAAAUCGGAGCUGCUCGCAAUUUGGAUGAAAUCAAAAUAUUUAUUUAUUAUAAUGCAUAAUAAUUAUGUGCAAUAAUAGAGGAUAGUUCACAGCCAUCAUGACCAUCGAUGUAUUAAAAAAUAACAGGAAAAAAAUGUUUCAAAUAAAAGGAACAUUUCAUCAGGUUCAUCGAAAACUGGUACUUUUGGUGGAGCUGGAGGAACCAACUUGAAAUUCUGAUUUAUCCUGGUAGCAGAUAAGCAGCUAGUCGAUGGAGAAGUGGCAGUGUAUGGUGGCUUUGCUGCAGCCCCUGGCAUACUCUUAUUCACUAAGGUCCCUGAAAAGCAGCAGAUGAACAGCUGGACGAUGAAGAAGUUGCAGUCGACGAUGCCUAUGCUGCAACCUCCGGCAUCUCCUUGGACAGAGAGGUUCCUGCAAAUGUAUAACUUUUACUACUUAGUUUUAUACAAAUUGUUCCUGCAAAUGAGCAAUGAUGCGAGUUGAUAAUGCUUUACGGUGGGCAAAAGCAGGUUUUAAAAACAACAAAUGUUCAUAGUAAGGAAAAUCAUGCUGUAUGGCAGCUGACCCUGUUCCUGCAGCAAUACUGUGUAGCGCCGCUGUUGAUUGCUAAGCGAUCCAAUUUCUUUAUAGACAAUCGCCGAGCCGCUGUCGAUCAACAGAUCCAGCAAUUAGGAGAAUAUUAAGUAGAGAGGACGCCGUCCAGCAACCCGAAAUUCCCGUAAAAUAGUUGCAUGGCGCCGUCGCCGGUCGAACGGCGGUAGCGUUACCCUCUCAACGAGCAGUAUUCGCAGUCUCGCCUUACGAAUAACCGCUGUUCGCCUCGCCAUCAAAGUAUCCCUUAUUGCGAGGAUUGUCGCGACGUUGUAGGAGAUUUUCGCGAUUUUCAGCAUACAUUCCCACUGCGAGAAAUACGACGAGGAAAUAAUGCCAGCGAUUCCCUGCGGGCAACUAUAACGACCGAACGCCAUCUUGACGGACGCCGCGUCCUUUGAGUGCGACUCCGACGCUAUUUUGGGACGAUUUAAAUACGGGAUUUAGAGUCACGGAAGCACGGAGGGUCUUGUUUGUUUACCAAUAAAAGUUUGUUAUUGUUCAUCAAACUAGUAACCGGGUAUUAUCAUGUUUAUUUUGUGAGUUAGUUUAACAGUGAGUAACAUAACGCGCCGAGUUUAAGGCGGAAUUAUCACGGGUAACCUUGUAAUCAGAUCAAGUCUGAUCCAUAAUGGGGGUUGCAGAAUAUACGAUUAUUGUUGUUCAGAAGAACCAGUAUGUAACAAGCUUUAAUUCUACACCUAUGCCACGCUAGGCAUACCUGUUCCUAGACCUACACGUUGUCCCAUUCUGUAGAUGUAAGAGUCCGCGGUACGAAGAUCGAUGUAAAAACAAGUGUAAUCUGAUUGUUUGCGUUACCGGUUCGGUUAUAAAAAGCGCAACAUCACAAUGUAAUUUAUCAAUAAAAACUAUGAAAUAAAAGAAUACAUA